CCUACGGGAGGCAGCAGCAAGGAAUUUUCGGCAAUGGGCGCAAGCCUGACCGAGCAACGCCGCGUGGAGGACGACGGCCUUCGGGUUGUAAACUCCUUUUGCGGGGGACGAUUGUGACUGUACCCCGCGAAUCAGGCUCGGCUAACUCUGUGCCAGCAGCCGCGGUAA
rnacentral:rRNA from 1 species